rnacentral:misc_RNA from 1 species
AUAAUCACUUUGACAUCGCAGAUUUUCCAAAAAGUUUGUAGAAGAAAAAUUCACGUUUGGCACCAGAUUAGAUUCUGGCAAGAACUCGCUGCGAAUAAGUUAGAUCACAUUUGGAAAAUGGCACCAACGUGGAAAAAAUUGACAACAGCUAUAGCUGCUAGAGUAUCACUUAAAACCAAUGCUAAAACGAGCUAAAACUCGUCAAUCAAUGUUUUUGCAGAGUUAGUGUGAAAUGACACGUUGAAAGAGCGCCGAAAUCACCAAUCCACCAUCUGCACAGUUGCUCACAUUCGGACGAAAUGUGGAUUUUCAGCUGUGUUUACGUAGCUAUAAUCACAGCGAACCCAUUCAGAAACAGCAAAUACUACAAGUCACUAUUUGCGAUCACUAUUGCACUCUGUUUCAUACUGCCUGGAAAAUCCUCUCAGAAUACGCCAUUGCCAUCGAUUGUAGGACCCGCGAACACCCGGGAACUUCGCCAACUCUCCAGACCUUCACUAUGCUUGCCACCCCUCUUGACCACUGUCUCCUUUUUUCACGCUCCAUUCUCGCCCUUCCUACGUCGGCGCAUCUUUCCGUAUGAUCUUGCAUCCAAUUAUUAGGAUCGAUAAUUCGACGGAGAGGAUCGUUUUUUUUAAUGUUUCACCCCGUGCAAAAUGUGUACCAUGUAGGUUCCACAUGUUAAUAAUGAUGAGCAAUUAUACCACUGCGAUUUGUCAUCUGUCUUGAUAUUUUUAUUACUUCAAUACGUAAAUAUUAAACCAUGUAAGUAUGUAAAUUUUUACAGAAUCAAAAUUAUAACAUUUAUAGUUUACGAUCCUCUCAAACAGAAUGAUCUUAUAAUAUAGUAUUCAUUUUACAGACGAGAUGUACAAUCUAGGUCCUACUGCUUAUUGAUAGUAAUUCAUAAAUUUUGCAGAUUUUUAUCCAUACCCUAUCUCAAUGAUUUUAUUGAUAUAGUAUACACAUACUAAAAUAAUGGAUUGAACAGCGUUUGGGAAUGAGAUAAGACUAAAACGGCACAUGUUUUAAGAAGAGUUUAUGAAGAACAUCCGUGUGAAACAGAAUUGUUCGCUUUGUGUCAAAUAUACUAGAAAAAUCAGCAUCUAAAAUUUAUUGCAACAAGUUUUAUUACCUUCUUUUUUAUUUAUCAUGAGUUCCAGUAUGUCUUUCACUCCUUAUUAUGCAAAAUGCGAAGAAAGAAUGCAAAAGUUCACGAUCCCACAUUCAAAUUAUAUUAUAUGUAUGUAAACUAGGGAUGUAAAAAAAAAAGAAAAAAAACUAGCGAACCCCUGAAGCUAGCCUGUAAGACAUAGGAACAUGCCAUUUUUUCAGUGUGUAACACUUUAAAAUCUAAUUCAAAUUACUCGUUCAUUACAUGCUUAUACCUAGCUGCCUAAUUAUCUUACGAUUAGUCAUAUUUACAAUAGCCUAUAUGCAAUGAGGUACAGAUGUUCUCUGACCAAAGUCUCUGUUAUGAUACAGCCUACACAUACCAAUAGAUAUACUUGAGAUUUCUGAUAAGUCUGAUUACAAAAUCAAUUCUUAAAAUGUAACUUAAAUCUAUAUACCUAUGUGUAGUUGCCAUAAAUGUACCAUCG